rnacentral:lncRNA from 1 species
AGAUGAUGAUAAGCAUAUGUAGAAAUGCAACGUUUUCACUGACCGGAAUAACCAGCUCCAGGCUGCAGUUCUCUGCACGAAGAUAAAGUUUGAUAGGCAAACUUGGCAGCUCCUGACCGCGGCGACCUGAGCCCAGAGGAGCAGCCGGGGGCGGUGGGCAGAGCCAGGUGUGGACAAGCGGGUGGGUCCCGCACCUGGGUGGGGGAAGCGGCAGGUUCCAGGGUCAAAUUGAGGUUGUACUAGCCCUGGCCUCCAAACCUCAGG